CAGUCACGGGCCAGCCUUUCCCUUAAGGAUGUCUGAGAGCUGGUCUCCUCACUCUUUUCUUCCGCCUAUUAAACUUUCCGCUUCUUAACUCACCCAUGUGUGUCCAUGUCGUUAAUCAUCUUGACGAGAGAUGAUGAACCCCGGAUAUUUACCCCAGACAGUGAUGCCGCUUCACCAGCAUUGCACUCUACUUCCCCGCUUCCUGAUCCUGCCUCAGCUUCUCCUCUCCACAGAGAAGAAAAAAUUCUGCCUAAAGUCUGCAACAUCGUUUCCUGCCUGAGUUUCAGCCUGCCAGCUUCUCCUACGGAUUCUGGACUUGCCAGCCCCACAAUCAUAACCAGAGAGGGGCAGCAAUUUUGGGCAAAAUGUCUGAUUUGGAAAUACCAACUUUACCUCCAUGGGCUCCACAAGAAAUCAGAUGGGAGAAGGGACAAGCAGAUAAGCGCAAGCCCAUCAACCUGAAGGCAUAAACCACAUCCAGCCACCUCCUUCUGAUCAGCAGCAAAGCUGACGUUUUGAUCUCCAUCUGUCUGAUUCUUGUGUCUACUUCUCAGUUUACAACUCCAGUGGGAAAGAAAGAGCUUUAUUUACAGACCCAUAAAAAUCCCAUCAGUGUCGUCCCCUGCUGAGAGGCCAUGUGAGACCAUAUGGAAAAACAACAGCCAUAAUGGCAGCAUGGCAGUGGAAGGGUUUGUCUUGUGCCCAGGCCUUGCGGUCAUGCAAGUUUCUUGUGGAUCCUGUUGGGACCAGCCACUCACCAAGGCUGAGUAGGUCCACAAAUAAUGGGGACUUUCUACCAGACUCACAGAGAACUGCUGGGUUUUUGGGAAGGGUGUGCGUGUCUUUGGGGCAUGCAAGUUGGGGUUAUAGUGGAGACCCAGAGGAUGAGAAAACUUCUCUGCCUCAGCAGAAGAGUGGCAGCUGAGAGAGAGGCAAGAAACUCGCACCCACUGUGGACUGGGGCAGAGAGAUUUUGAGGAGAAUGAAAUCCAGAAACUCUGUGUGGUAUUAGUUUGUAUCCAGAGGGUGACCCUCUUCUCAAGGAAAUGGGUGUCAUCAAUUUUCUACACUAUUAAAGAUAUAAAGUUCUUGGCAUUAAAAAAAAAAAAAAAAA
rnacentral:lncRNA from 1 species